GAUGAACGCUGGCGGCGUGCUUAACACAUGCAAGUCGAACGGAAAGGCCUCAGCUUGCUGGGGUACUCGAGUGGUGAACGGGCGAGUAACACGUGGGUGAUCUGCCCUGCACUUUGGGAUAAGCUUGGGAAACUGGGUCUAAUACCGAAUAUGACCACUUCUUGGAUGUUGUGGUGGAAAGCUUUUGCGGUGUGGGAUGGGCCUGCGGCCUAUCAGCUUGUUGGUGGGGUAAUGGCCUACCAAGGCGGCGACGGGUAUCCGGCCUGAGAGGGUGUACGGACACAUUGGGACUGAGAUACGGCCCAGACUCCUACGGGAGGCAGCAGUGGGGAAUAUUGCACAAUGGGCGCAAGCCUGAUGCAGCGACGCCGCGUGGGGGAUGAAGGCCUUCGGGUUGUAAACUCCUUUCGCUAUCGACGAAGCCACUUGUGGUGACGGUAGGUAGAUAAGAAGCACCGGCUAACUACGUGCCAGCCGCCGCCGUAA
rnacentral:rRNA from 1 species